ACUUGUACCUGUUGCUUCCGUGAGACUGUGAACGCAAGUUCCCUCUGGCGCCGUUCUCCGGAACGGAUGCUGGGGAGUGCUCACGGGAGGUAAUCAUAAACUCUGUUUUUUUUGAACUCAGUCUGAAUAUUGUUUUUAAAUAAACUUUAAAACUUUCAACAACGGAUCUCUUGGUUCUCGCAUCGAUGAAGAACGCAGCGAAAUGCGAUAAGUAGUGUGAAUUGCAGAAUUCAGUGAAUCAUCGAAUCUUUGAACGCACAUUGCGCCUCCUGGUAUUCCGGGAGGCAUGCCUGUUCGAGCGUCAUUAAAAUCUCUCAAGCUUAGGUUUUUACCUAUUGCUUGGUCUUGGAGAUGGAAGCCAAUUCAUUGGAAUCCUCUUCGAAAUUCAAUGGCGAAGACCCUUGCUCUCCCAAGUGUAGUAAUAACUUAUAUCACUGAAGGAAGCGAGAAAUCUUCCGCCGAAACCCCCAUAUUUUCUAUGAUUGACCUCGGAUCAGGUAGGGAUACCCGCUGAACUUAAG
rnacentral:rRNA from 1 species